ACUUGAUCUAGAAUUGAUACUAAAAUUGGAACAAUACAGAAAAGAUUAGCCUGGUCCCCGAGCAAGAAUGAUAUGAAAAUUUGUGAAGUGUUCCAUAUUUUU